rnacentral:rRNA from 1 species
AAUGAACGCUGGCGGUAGGCCUAACACAUGCAAGUCGAACGAGUGGCGGACGGGUGAGGCAUACAUCUGAAUCUACUCUGUCGUGGGGGAUAACGUAGGGAAACUUACGCUAAUACCACAUACGAUUGAAUGAGCCGAUGUCGGAUUGGCUAGUUGGCGGGGUAAAGGCCCACAAAGGCGACGAGCCGUAGCUGGUCUGAGGGGAUGAUGCGCGACACUGGAACUGAGACACGGUCCAGACGCCUACGGGAGGCAGGAGUGGGGAAUAUGGGAUAAUGGGCGCAAGCCUGAUCCAGCCAUACCGCGUGGGGGAAGAAGGCCUUCGGGUUGUAAAGCCCUUUUGUUGGGAAAGCGUUACCCAAAGAAUAAGCACCGGCUAACUUCGUGCCAGCAGCCGCGGUAAUUC